UACGGAGGGUGCAAGCGUUAUCCGGAUUCACUGGGUUUAAAGGGUGCGUAGGCGGGUUGGUAAGUCAGUGGUGAAAUCUUCAAGCUUAACUUGGAAACUGCCGUUGAUACUAUCAAUCUUGAAUAUUGUGGAGGUAAGCGGAAUAUGUCAUGUAGCGGUGAAAUGCUUAGAUAUGACAUAGAACACCGAUAGCGAAGGCAGCUUGCUACACAAUAACUGACGCUGAGGCACGAAAGCGUGGGGAGCAAACAGG
rnacentral:rRNA from 1 species